rnacentral:lncRNA from 1 species
CUUGUCGUUGUGGCUCCUUAUAUGCUUGGCAUUAAACAAUCAGCUGUUCUUGAAUGUGGUAUGCUCCAAAUAUACAGGUAGUCCUCACUUUACAACUGACCUGUUUAACGACGAAUCGGACUUACAACCAGCUUUCUAGAGGGAUUCCCCACUUUAGAGAGUUGGUCUAUGUUUGGGGAAUCCUCCCCUAAACACAGACAAACGCACCAGAGCAGGGAAUCCCUCUAAUCUAUGUUUGGGGAAUGUCCCCUGGACAUAUAUUUGAAGGAUUCCCUGCUCUACUGCACUGGUCUAUGUUCGGGGAAAUUUCCCUGAACAUAGACCUGCAGUGGUGUGCAUGUUCUUUAUCACAUCCUCACUUACUGACCAAUUUGUUUUAGGACCAAGUCGUAAGAACAGAACCCGGUCGGUGUAUGAGGAGUGUCUGUAUAUCAAAUGAUCAUCGGGGCCCCUAAAUAACUUUCUACUUAUCCCGAAUGCUAAUCUUUUUAAUAUCAGUACAACUAUUUUUUUUUGCUCAAGAAAAAUACGUAGAAAUCAACAUUAAAAGGAAAAAUAAACCUGUCAUGUCCAAAUCAACAUACACAAUGGAGUGUUAAUCUAAAUACAGAAUCUUAGUGAGAACUCAUGACUUGUAGCCUUCCACAGGAUGAUGGGAACUGCUAUUCACUAACAGACUGAGGAGAUUCAUGAUGUCCACAUGUAAGAUUCAAACUAACCAUUUUAAAAUGCUAAAUGACUUCAUGCUGCAGAUCGGUAGUAGCUGAUAACUCGUCUUAAGUCAAUACCCAUUCACUUGCCAAAGAAGCUACUUAGCCAGUGUCGAAACACAAGCACUGUGGGGUUUAUUCGCCAAAAAAGGAAUUGCUGGCCAAUUUUAAGACAAAAUAAUCAAACUGUAAAUAAUCUCCAACUGAACAAUGUUACCAGUUAUUUUGGCAUAGAAUCAGCAAUUACCUUGCCAAUUCUCUGUAAAUUCUGAUUGGGUGGAUUACCCCAGUAUAUAUGUUGUUAAAUUGUGUUUCACUGAGAUAUUGCAAGUAGCGACAUGCAAAGGCCAGUGAUGGGAAACUGAAAAUGCACUAGAAUUUCUAAUGUUUGACACUGAUAUUGUAUUACAAAUAAAACAUGUAAUCAAUGUAUUUCAAGGCCAUAGAUGAGCUGUGUAGUGUACUUUUAUCACAAUUUAAGAAUACUUGUACAAACAGAACUUUUUUGUAAUUAUUAUUUUAUGAUUAACUAUACGAAAAUAUACAUUUACUUGUACUAUGGCUUGCACUUUAGCUAUAUAUAUAUAUACUGUGAAGUAGACUGUAGUACAUUUUUGUUAUUAUUAUACUUAUUCUUUUAAUGUAGAGGUUUAAAUAUUGAAGCACUAUUAUAUGGCUGGGUUUCAAUCUAUUCCUAUAUAUUUUAAGUCUUACAAAAUACAGAGUGUAUUUCUGCUAUGUGUAUAUAUGUUUAGAACGCCAUGGAGACAGAUAUUAGUAGAUCGUGUCUGUUUUCCAGAUUAAUGUACCUGUGUUCAAUAUAUCUGCAGCAAUAGGUUAUAAACCAAACAAUAGGACUGUUUUAACACACACAGCCUGCUUCCUGCGGCUCGUUCUGUAUAAAUGAAGUUUGUCCACUAGAUGGAACACUUCGUGUUUACUUUAAAUCAUGUACAUAGAGG